UACGGGGGGGGCAAGCGUUGUUCGGAAUUACUGGGCGUAAAGGGCUCGUAGGCGGAUAACUCAGUCAGACGUGAAAUCCCUCGGCUUAACCGGGGAACUGCAUCUGAUACUGGAUGGCUUGAGAUUGGGAGAGGGAUGCGGAAUUCCAGGUGUAGCGGUGAAAUGCGUAGAUAUCUGGAGGAACACCGGUGGCGAAGGCGGCAUCCUGGACCAACACUGACGCUGAGGAGCGAAAGCCAGGGGAGCAAACGGG
rnacentral:rRNA from 1 species